UAGUCUAACAGAGUGAAAAACUUUGGUGAGUACCUACUACCUACACCUAUCUGCAAAAUUACAUCACUUCAAUUUAAGAAGCAUUAAGUACAGUGCAGUGAAAAAAUUCGCUACCUAUUAAAUAUAAAUUGAUAUUAUAAAAGUGUCGCGACGUUUACAAAUUCGGACUUGAAAAAACUUACAAUCGAAUUAAAAGCUUAAUAUGAAAGUAACCAAGUCAUCCACCAAGAAAUACUGAAAAUCAUUUCGAAAAAAACCUGCCGAAAUUCCUUUCAAAUUGAAAAAAAAAACUUCGAAAAAGAACCACUCGAAGCAAAUAUUUGCUACAGAUACCCUACGUAUUCGAAAGAAAAAAAAUUAUCAACACUCGAUACGAUCUGUAGCAAUAAUUACCUACGUUCCAGCGCAAGGCAUCGAUGAUUUUUCGGACACCAG